rnacentral:rRNA from 1 species
CACUCCUGCGGGAGGCAGCAGUGGGGAAUUUUGGACAAUGGGCGAAAGCCUGAUCCAGCAAUGCCGCGUGUGUGAAGAAGGCCUUCGGGUUGUAAAGCACUUUUGUCCGGAAAGAAAUCCUUGGCUCUAAUACAGUCGGGGGAUGACGGUACCGGAAGAAUAAGCACCGGCUAACUACGUGCCAGCAGCCGCGGUAAUACGUAGGGUGCGAGCGUUAAUCGGAAUUACUGGGCGUAAAGCGUGCGCAGGCGGUUUGCUAAGACCGAUGUGAAAUCCCCGGGCUCAACCUGGGAACUGCAUUGGUGACUGGCAGGCUAGAGUAUGGCAGAGGGGGGUAGAAUUCCACGUGUAGCAGUGAAAUGCGUAGAGAUGUGGAGGAAUACCGAUGGCGAAGGCAGCCCCCUGGGCCAAUACUGACGCUCAUGCACGGAAGCGUGGGGAGCAAACAGGAUUAGAUACCCGAGUAGUCCCAU